rnacentral:snRNA from 1 species
AAAGUUUCUCAGCCUUUGGCUAAGAUCAAGUGUAGUAUCUGUUCUUAUACUCGCUUCUCUGCCUCAAGUGUAGUACCUUUGGAAACACUUGGUCCUCUGGCUGGUAAGAUCAAGGAGGAGUAUCUGUUCUUAUGAUCCUAUGUGAAGAACGGAGAAACACUU